AACGAACGCUGGCGGCAUGCCUAACACAUGCAAGUCGAACGAGACCUUCGGGUCUAGUGGCGCACGGGUGCGUAACGCGUGGGAAUCUGCCCCUUGGUUCGGAAUAACAGCGAGAAAUUGCUGCUAAUACCGGAUAAUGACGUAAGUCCAAAGAUUUAUCGCCAAGGGAUGAGCCCGCGUAGGAUUAGCUAGUUGGUGUGGUAAAGGCGCACCAAAGCGACGAUCCUUAGCUGGUCUGAGAGGAUGAUCAGCCACACUGGGACUGAGACACCGGCCCAGACUCCUACGGGAGGCAGCAGUGGGGAAUAUUGGACAAUGGGCGAAAGCCUGAUCCAGCAAUGCCGCGUGAGUGAUGAAGGCCUUAGGGUUGUAAAGCUCUUUUACCCGGGAUGAUAAUGACAGUACCGGGAGAAUAAGACUCCGGCUAACUCCGUCGCCAGCAGCCGCGGUAAUGUGACUACUG
rnacentral:rRNA from 1 species